rnacentral:sRNA from 1 species
GCCGCGCGUAUCGGUCAGAAGCUCCGACUGAUAGCCGAUGAGACCGCGGGUGGGCGCGAAGAACACCAGCCGGACGCGGUUGCCGCCGGAGGGACGAA